rnacentral:rRNA from 1 species
UACGUAGGGUGCGAGCGUUGUCCGGAAUUAUUGGGCGUAAAGAGCUCGUAGGCGGCUUGUUGCGUCGGCUGUGAAAACCCGCGGCUUAACUGCGGGCUUGCAGCCGAUACGGGCGGGCUGGAGUUCGGUAGGGGAGACUGGAAUUCCUGGUGUAGCGGUGAAAUGCGCAGAUAUCGGGAAGAACACCCGUGGCGAAGGCGGCUCUCUGGGACGGUACUGACGCUGAGACGCGAAAGCGUGGGGAGCGAACAGG